rnacentral:rRNA from 1 species
CACGUAGGCGGACUCUUAAGUCGGGGGUGAAAGCCCAGGGCUCAACCCUGGAACUGCCUUCGAUACUGGGAGUCUUGAGUAUGGUAGAGGUUGGUGGAACUGCGAGUGUAGAGGUAAAAUUCGUAGAUAUUCGCAAGAACACCAGUGGCGAAGGCGGCCAACUGGACCAUUACUGACGCUGAGGUGCGAAAGCGUGGGGAGCAAACA